rnacentral:sRNA from 1 species
UGACCUUGUCCUCUGUCGUACGCACUUUUUGGGCGUUUCCUCCCUAAACUCGGGCCGCGCUUCGUGCGCGGCCCUUUUUUCUGCGCCCU